rnacentral:rRNA from 1 species
GCCGCGUGAGGGAUGACGGCCUUCGGGUUGUAAACCUCUUUCAGCAGGGACGAAGCGAAAGUGACUGUACCUGCAGAAGAAGCGCCGGCUAACUACGUGCCAGCAGCCGCGGUAAUACGUAGGGCGCAAGCGUUGUCCGGAUUUAUUGGGCGUAAAGAGUUCGUAGGCGGUCUGUCGCGUCGGAAGUGAAAACCCGGAGCUCAACUCCGGGCCUGCUUUCGAUACGGGCAGACUUGAGUGUUGCAGGGGAGACUGGAAUUCCUGGUGUAGCGGUGGAAUGCGCAGAUAUCAGGAGGAACACCGGUGGCGAAGGCGGGUCUCUGGGCAACAACUGACGCUGAGGAACGAAAGCGUGGGGAGCGAACAGGAUUAGAUACCCUGGUAGUCCACGCUGUAAACGGUGGGCACUAGGUGUGGGGACCAUUCCACGGUCUCUGCGCCGCAGCUAACGCAUUAAGUGCCCCGCCUGGGGGAGUACGGCCGCAAGGCUAAAACUCAAAGGAAUU